GAUGAAGAACGCAGCGAAAUGCGAUACUUGGUGUGAAUUGCAGAAUCCCGUGAACCAUCGAGUCUUUGAACGCAAGUUGCGCCUCAAGCCAUUAGGUUGAGGGCACGUCUGCCUGGGCGUCACAUAUCGUUGCCUGAUGCCAGUUUCCUCGUGAUGGGUGACUGUGCAGGGCGAAUGAUGGCUUCCCGUGAGCAUUGUUGCCUCAUGGUUGGUUGAAAAUUGAGUCCUUGGUAGGGAGCGCCGUGAUAGAUGGUGGUUGAGUGACGAACGAGACCCAAUCAUGUGAGACCCCUACCGAAUUUGGCCUUCAUGACCCACAUGCGUCUUUGGAACGCUCAUGACGAGACCUCAGGUCAGGCGGGGCUACCCGCUGAGUUUAAGCAUAUCAAUAAGCGGAGAA
rnacentral:misc_RNA from 1 species